GCAGCACGGAGCUUGCUCUGGUGGCGAGUGGCGAACGGGUGAGUAAUAUAUCGGAACGUACCCUGGAGUGGGGGAUAACGUAGCGAAAGUUACGCUAAUACCGCAUACGAUACACGGAUGAAAGUGGGGGAUCGCAAGACCUCAUGCUCGUGGAGCGGCCGAUAUCUGAUUAGCUAGUUGGUAGGGUAAAAGCCUACCAAGGCAUCGAUCAGUAGCUGGUCUGAGAGGACGACCAGCCACACUGGAACUGAGACACGGUCCAGACUCCUACGGGAGGCAGCAGUGGGGAAUUUUGGACAAUGGGCGCAAGCCUGAUCCAGCAAUGCCGCGUGAGUGAAGAAGGCCUUCGGGUUGUAAAGCUCUUUUGUCAGGGAAGAAACGGUGGGAGCUAAUAUCUCCUGCUAAUGACGGUACCUGAAGAAUAAGCACCGGCUAACUACGUGCCAGCAGCCGCGGUAAUACGUAGGGUGCAAGCGUUAAUCGGAAUUACUGGGCGUAAAGCGUGCGCAGGCGGUUUUGUAAGUCUGAUGUGAAAUCCCCGGGCUCAACCUGGGAAUUGCAUUGGAGACUGCAAGGCUAGAAUCUGGCAGAGGGGGGUAGAAUUCCACGUGUAGCAGUGAAAUGCGUAGAUAUGUGGAGGAACACCGAUGGCGAAGGCAGCCCCCUGGGUCAAGAUUGACGCUCAUGCACGAAAGCGUGGGGAGCAAACAGGAUUAGAUACCCUGGUAGUCCACGCCCUAAACGAUGUCUACUAGU
rnacentral:rRNA from 1 species